rnacentral:rRNA from 1 species
AACUAACGCUGGCGGCGCGCCUAAUACAUGCAAGUCGAACGAUGUAGCAAUACAUAGUGGCGCACGGGAGAGUAACACGUGGAUAAUCUCCCCUCGAGAGAAGAAUAACUAGUCGAAAGAUUAGCUAAUACUUCGUAAGACCACAGAAACAAAUGUUUCAGGGGUAAAAGUCGUAAGACGCUUGAGGAUGAGUCUGCGUCCCAUUAGCUAGUUGGUGAGGUAACGGCUCACCAAGGCUGUGAUGGCUAGCUGGUCUGAGAGGAUGACCAGCCACACUGGGACUGAGACACGGCCCAGACUCCUACGGGAGGCAGCAGUGGGGAAUAUUGCGCAAUGGGCGAAAGCCUGACGCAGCGACGCCGCGUGGGUGAUGAAGGCCU